rnacentral:sRNA from 1 species
GCUGGGCGCAGUGGUGCACGCCUAUAAUCCCAGAGGUUAGGGAGGCUGAGGCAGGAGGAUCACAAGUUAAAAGCCAGCCUCAGCAAAAGUGAGACCCUAAGCAACUCAGUGAGACCCUGUUUCUA